AAUCCCUUAUCGAUUAACAAUUAGAGGGCAAGUCUGGUGCCAGCAGCCGCGGUAAUUCCAGCUCUAAUAGCGUAUAUUAAAGUUGUUGCAGUUAAAAAGCUCGUAGUUGGAUUUCGGCGUGCGCUCAGGCUGGUCGGCCGUCAAGGUCUGUACCGUUUGGGUCACGCCCCACUGUAGGAUACUCACCGCUGUCCUUAACUGGGUGGCGGUCAAAGGGGGUGUGCAUGGGGGCAACUCUGUGCAUAUCUCUGGGGUUCCUACUCUUUUACUUUGAGCAAAUUAGAGUGUUCAAAGCAGGCAAUCGAGCCUUGAAUACUUCAGCAUGGGAUAAUGGAACAGGACUGGGGUCCUGAUUUCGUUGGUUUCUGGGAUCUCAGUAAUGAUUAAUAGGGAUAGUUGGGGGCAUUAGUAUUUAAUUGUCAGAGGUGAAAUUCUUGGAUUUAUGAAAGACUAACUUCUGCGAAAGCAUUUGCCAAGGAUGUUUUCAUUAAUCAAGAACGAAAGUUAGGGGAUCGAAGACGAUCAGAUACCGUCGUAGUCUUAACCAUAAACGAUGCCGACCAGCGAUUGGGAGACGUUACAUGGAUGACUCCCCCAGCAGCUUGCGAGAAAUCACAAGUCUUUGGGUUCCGGGGGGAGUAUGGUCGCAAGGCUGAAACUUAAAGGAAUUGACGGAAGGGCACCACCAGGAGUGGAGCCUGCGGCUUAAUUUGACCCAACACGGGGAAACUUACCAGGUCCAGACAUAGUAAGGAUUGACAGACUUGAGAGCUCUUUCUUGAUUCUAUGGGUGGUGGUGCAUGGCCGUUCUUAGUUGGUGGAGUGAUUUGUCUGGUUAAUUCCGUUAACGAUCGAGACCUUAACCUGCUAAAUAUGUCACUGGUAGACUUCUGCCAAAACAGGUGGGUGUCUAGGGGAAAGUUUCGAUGGACUCCGACGCAUUCAUCUGUGGAUGACUACCAGGAUGUACUUCUUAGAGGGACUAUCUGUAUCAAAGCAGAUGGAAGUUUGAGGCAAUAACAGGUCUGUGAUGCCCUUAGAUGUUCUGGGCCGCACGCGCGCUACACUGACAAGUUCAACGAGUUUAACACCUUGCUCGAUAGGGCUGGGUAAUCUUUGAAAAACUUGUCGUGAUGGGGAUAGAUCAUUGUAAUUAUUGGUCUUCAACGAGGAAUUCCUAGUAAGCGUGAGUCAUCAGCUCGCGUUGAUUACGUCCCUGCCCUUUGUACACACCGCCCGUCGCUCCUACCGAUUGAAUGAUCCGGUGAAAUGUUGGGAGCUGGGGUCUUUUGGCGGCGGGGCAACUCGUCGUCAGGGAUUCUGCAAACUUCAUUAAACCUUAUCAUUUAGA
rnacentral:rRNA from 1 species